rnacentral:lncRNA from 1 species
AAGUGUGUACUGGCAGGAUCUGGGAGAGGAGGUGGAGGAGUGGGCAUAAGGGUGUUGAACCAGGGGUAGACUAAAGGCUGUAUACAUGAGAAUACACUGACCUGGGAGCACUCUCAGGAUUUAAUGACUUGGCAAGGACACCUCGGGCUCUAACACACUGCUGGAGUGGCUCCUUGAAAUGUGGAUGGAACAGUUGCUGCAGUGAAUUAGGUGGAGAUUAUAGAACUGCAUUGGCAAAGCAUCAGAGAAGCUGGAAAGUACAGGGAGGUAGGAAUGUUGGAAUGGUUCGUUAUAUGCCAGCAGAUUCAGAAUCCACCACUUGCCUAUGUGCCCUUGGAGGCCUCACAGGAACUCCCCUCUCUAGGCUAACAAGGAAGGCACUAGUGAGAAGGGCACCUGAAUCUUUCAGAGACUCAGUGGCACUAUCCUUUGUAGGCCAGGAUCGACAAGAGGAGAUGCUGCCAUGAGACCAGGCUUCAUGGUGUCAGUGGGAAUGGUGGAAGGCGAGAACAGCAGAUGCCAGGUGGUGGCAGGAAACAACAACAACGAGAUCUGGCCCGCAGAAGGCUGUAACACAAAAUCGCAAUCAUCCGGUUGUCAUUUCUCUGUCAUUAAAUAUGCAGCUGAUGAGCAACGCAGUAUUCCAGGUGGAAUCACAGAGAUUUAUCACCUCCCUCAACUGUGACCGCGACAUUCUUACAUUCUUACAUCUGCUCGGGAGGCUGAGGUAGGAUAAUUGCUUGAACCUGGGAGGCAG